rnacentral:tRNA from 1 species
GAUGUAGCUCAGUGGCAGAGUGUUUGCCUAGCACACACAAGGCCCUGGGUUCAAACCCUAGCAUC